GUGGGUACAGCUCAAGUGGCAGAGCACAUGCUUAACAUGCACGAGGUCCUGGGUUCGACUCCCAGUACCUCCU
rnacentral:tRNA from 1 species